rnacentral:miRNA from 1 species
AAAUAUAUAUAUACAUACACACAUAUAUAUUGAAUAUAUAUGUGUGUGUGUGUGUGUGUGUAU